GCCUUUAAAGGUCAGUGGUAGAGCAUUGGUCUGGUAAACCAGGGGUGUGAGUUCAAUCCUCACUGAGGCA
rnacentral:tRNA from 1 species